rnacentral:rRNA from 1 species
GAUGAACGCUGGCGGCGUGCCUAAUACAUGCAAGUCGAGCGAACAGACGAGGAGCGUGCUCCUCUGACGUUAGCGGCGGACGGGUGAGUAACACGUGGAUAACCCACCUAUAAGACUGGGAUAACUUCGGGAAACCGGAGCUAAUACCGGAUAAUAUAUUGAACCGCAUGGUUCAAUAGUGAAAGACGGUUUUGCUGUCACUAAUAGAUGGAUCCGCGCCGCAUUAGCUAGUUGGUAAGGUAACGGCUUACCAAGGCGACGAUGCGUAGCCGACCUGAGAGGGUGAUCGGCCACACUGGAACUGAGACACGGUCCAGACUCCUACGGGAGGCAGCAGUAGGGAAUCUUCCGCAAUGGGCGAAAGCCUGACGGAGCAACGCCGCGUGAGUGAUGAAGGUCUUCGGAUCGUAAAACUCUGUUAUUAGGGAAGAACAAAUGUGUAAGUAACUAUGCACGUCUUGACGGUACCUACUCAGAAAGCCACGGCUAACUACGUG